UCCUUGGUGGUCUGGUGGUUAAGACUCUGCACUGUCGAUGCAGUGGGUGUGGGUUUGAUCCUUGGUCAGGGAA
rnacentral:tRNA from 1 species